rnacentral:rRNA from 1 species
GAUGAACGCUAGCGGGAGGCCUAACACAUGCAAGCCGAGCGGUAGAGUAUCUUCGGAUACUUGAGAGCGGCGCACGGGUGCGGAACACGUGUGCAACCUGCCUUUAUCUGGGGGAUAGCCUUUCGAAAGGAAGAUUAAUACCCCAUAAUAUAUUGAGUGGCAUCACUUAAUAUUGAAAACUCCGGUGGAUAGAGAUGGGCACGCGCAAGAUUAGAUAGUUGGUAGGGUAACAGCCUACCAAGUCGAUGAUCUUUAGGGGGCCUGAGAGGGUGAUCCCCCACACUGGUACUGAGACACGGACCAG